GAUUAACGCUAGCGGCAGGCCUAAUACAUGCAAGUCGAACGGCAGCACGGGUAGCAAUACCUGGUGGCGAGUGGCGCACGGGUGAGUAACACGUAUGCAAUCUACCUUUAACUGGGAAUAACCCUUCGAAGAAGGGCUAAUACCGCAUAACACUUCGAGAAGGCAUCUUCAUGAAGUUAAACCUCCGGGAGUUAAAGAUGAGCAUGCGCUCGAUUAGUUAGUUGGUGAGGUAAUGGCUCACCAAGACUUCGAUCGAUAGGGGUCGUNA
rnacentral:rRNA from 1 species